rnacentral:rRNA from 1 species
UACGAAGGGGGCUAGCGUUGCUCGGAAUCACUGGGCGUAAAGCGCACGUAGGCGGAUUGCUAAGUCAGGGGUGAAAUCCUGGAGCUCAACUCCAGAACUGCCUUUGAUACUGGCGAUCUUGAGUCCGGGAGAGGUGAGUGGAACUGCGAGUGUAGAGGUGAAAUUCGUAGAUAUUCGCAAGAACACCAGUGGCGAAGGCGGCUCACUGGCCCGGUACUGACGCUGAC